rnacentral:rRNA from 1 species
AUUGAACGCUGGCGGCAGGCCUAACACAUGCAAGUCGAACGAGUGGCGGACGGGUGAGUAAUGUCUGGGAAACUGCCUGAUGGAGGGGGAUAACUACUGGAAACGGUAGCUAAUACCGCAUACCAUCAGAUGUGCCCAGAUGGGAUUAGCUAGUUGGUGGGGAAACGGCUCACCAAGGCGACGAUCCCUAGCUGGUCUGAGGGGAUGACCGGCCACCCGGGAACUGGGACACGGUCCAGACUCCUAGGGGAGGCAGCAGUGGGGAAUAUUGCACAAUGGGCGAAAGCCUGAAGCAGCCAUACCGCGAGUAUGAAGAAGGCCUGCGGGUUGUAAAGUACUUUCAGCGGGGAGGCGUUACCCGCAGAAGAAGCACCGGCUAAUUCCGUGCCAGCAGCCGCGGUAUUC